rnacentral:lncRNA from 1 species
AUAAAUUGGUCUAACAAUAAUUAACAUAAAACAAAUUAAUUUAUAAAUUUAAAACAAGUUACAAAUAAUAUUUAAAAUAAAAAUAUACUAAAAAGUAAAAAUCUUUAAAUGUUUUAGUAUAUCACAAACUUAGAAAGAAAAACAAAAAAAAUUAAACAUAUCAGAGAAAAUCAAAUCAUACAUAACAACUGUAUCUUUUGCCAAAAUCGAUCAGAUCUACUCUUUUAAAUCCAUCAUCAACAACCAUAUUCUUCAAGCCACCCAUUUUUUCACAUAACACAACACAAUCGGAGAAGAUAAAUCCAACAAGAGUCAGACGGAAACCCGGCAACAAUGGCAAGAUCGGAAUCUUCUUCUCUUUUUCUAUCCCUUUCACAGUUCCACGAAUUUUUUGUUUUGUCUCUUACAAUGACUGUUGAAAAAAGUAGGCGAUGAAGAGGAUGAUGGUUGUACAGAUCUGGAGGUUGAAGAAGAUGAAGAGUUCGUCGCUGCUUCCUGACUUCCGGAUCUGGAGGUUGUACAGAUUGGGAUUUUUCUUCUUUGUUUGCUUCUAGUCGCUGCUUUCUGACUUCGUUCUUCCUCCCUAUUAAAAAAAUCUUCAUACCCAAACCCAAACAGAAACCCAAAUGAAAUUUUAAUUCGUUUCAGAGCUUACACCAAUUAAGUUAAUGCUUGAUAAAAUUUUUGAUUUCUGGGUUUAUUAUUUGGAGGUAUUAAAUUUAUUUAUGUGUAUAAAUUAUUGGUAUGAAUGGUAGUUUAAUUAGUAUUUUUGUGUAUUUUCGCCAUGUUAGUUUCUUUUUUACUUUAUGAUAUGUGGUUGUGUUCUUUGAAUAACAAAGGGGUCUGUGAAGAAGAAAAUAAAAAUGGAGAUGAGGGUUGUUCAAAAAUGGUAAGUGUAAGAUUUAAUUUGAGAAAGAAGACGAAGAACAUAAGAUGGAAGAAUUUUUUUUUGUAUUGUAUGAUUUAAUGGUUUUUGGCUGCAGAUCUUGAUCUUCAAUGUUUGGCUAAAAGGGGUUUUUGAUCGAUUUUUAAUGGUUUUAGAUUUUGUUGUUUUGAUUGAUUUGAUCAAUUUUCUGAUUGUUUGGAAGUUUUAAUUAGUUUUGAUGUAUUAAAUGUAAGACUCUAAUUUUUAUGAAUAAAGAUAAAUUUUUUAUAAUUAUCAUUUUUGAAUAUUAUGAAAUUAAUUUGAUAUAAUAUUAUAGUUGUAGGUAAUAUUUAUAAAUUUUACAAUACGCAAGUUGUUAUAUAAUAUUCGAUUGGUCGGGGAAUAUUCGUUUUAACAGAGAAUAUUCGUACGACGGCCCAAUCAUUGGUGGAC